UACAGGGGGGGCAAGCGUUGUUCGGAAUUACUGGGCGUAAAGGGCUCGUAGGCGGCCAACUAAGUCCGACGUGAAAUCCCCAGGCUUAACCUGGGGACUGCGUCGGAUACUGGAUGGCUUGAAUUCGGGAGAGGGAUGCAGAAUUCCAGGUGUAGCGGUGAAAUGCGUAGAUAUCUGGAGGAAUACCGGUGGCGAAGGCGGCAUCCUGGACCGACAUUGACGCUGAUGAGCGAAAGCUAGGGGAGCAAACGGG
rnacentral:rRNA from 1 species